UACAGAAGAACUGUUCCCCAUCUCCAUCCCAGGAUCAGUGCCUAUGCAAUUAAAACAGUGACAUAAAAGGAGCAUGUGGUGAGAGAAGCUGAGUAACUACUAUGUACAACACCUUGAGCAUCUCAACAGAAACAGAAAAGCACCUCUCAUCUUCACCGUUGCAGCACCUUCCUGGUUCAUUCCUUGCAAGUAUAGGAAUUGUUGGCAGUGUUGACCUUAUGGCCAGUGUUCUCAUUUCCUCAUCCAGGGGUUCAACCAGGAAGGAAAACUCCAUAUCAAUUAAAUAAUAUGAGCAUAUUAGACAGAAGUCUAAUACAUGCACUUAGACAAAUCUCCAGGACCCAAUGGUAAUCUACCAGUUGUACAAUUCAAAACAAGAUUUUAUGCGUAGGUCUUCAUUAAAACGUUUUCAGCAAUCUCUUGAGAUGGGGACAAUACCCACUGUAUGGAAUAUUGUUAAUGUAGUGCAAAUCUAUUAAAAGGGUGACAAAACUAAAUC